rnacentral:misc_RNA from 1 species
GUGCUGCAGUCACCGGCUGGUACAAA